rnacentral:lncRNA from 1 species
AGAGAGAGAAAGAGAGAGAGAGUCCGGCUACUAUACUCUUAUAAAUACGAUCGCCUUCGUACUCAUAAGUCGUUUUCAAUGAUAGAGCUUCUGAAUAGACCAUCCAUAGUUAAACAUCAUCUUGAACAGUUAAAACUUUUAAAAAUCAAAUUUUAUAAUUUUUUGAUAUUAUUUACCUUACGGUCAAAAGAUCUCAAAAUUGACAAUUGUUAACAGUGGGAUAUUUGCUAUUUUAACGAUAUAAAAGAAUUAGAAUUAAUUGAAUUUUUGAUAUGAAAUUAUAUUAACUAUCUAGAUAAAAAUCAACUUAUGAGUACCAAAGGCUAUCUAGAUAAAAAUCAAUUUUUAUUAUGAAAUUAUAUUAACUAUCAUCCAUUUUUUUGAUAUGAAAUUAUAUUAACUAUCUAGAUAAAAAUCAAUUUUUGAUAUGAAAUUAUAUGAAAUUAUAUUAACUAUCAUCCAUUUUUAGAACGUCGUUUGAUUUUGAUAAUUUAUUUUUUGCCCACUUUGAUAGACAUUAUUAUAAUUUCAAAAAAUUACAAAAUUUAUUUUCAAAAAUUUUAAAUACUCUAAAUCAUAUUUAACGAAUUGAAUCGUCGAUUCAAAAGCUUCAUUAUCGAAAACAACUUAUGAGUACGAAAGGCUCAAUACUCAUAAGAGUAUAGUAGCCCUACUUUUAUAUAGUCCGGCUACAGUACUUGUAAAAGCACCAAGCACUUGAUUGUUUUAAAUUUUUUACCUUCAGAUCUACCCUUUGAUUAUUUUCACCCGUUAGAUCUACUAUUUAAGUAACAACCCACUCAAUACUAGGGGUCCCACAUCAUCUAACCGCACAUCUCUUAAUCCAAUGGACAAAAAUUAAUCUACAACCACCAAUAACUUGAUACUUUCAAAAAGUAUAGGAGCUCAAUUAAUUUUAUAUAUNNNNNNNNNNNNNNNNNNNNNNNNNAUAUAUAUAUAUAUAUAUAUAUAUACUAUAUAUGAUAUCAUACUAUAUAUAUAAUAUAUAUAUAUAUAUAUAAUAUAUUAUAUUAUAUAAAAUUAUAUAUCGGUAGUGGCGGCUGCUGUGCUCUUAGUGAAGCACGGAAGGCCUCCGUGCUCCUGAGCCGUUCUUCGGAUGAUUAGAAUUUCGAAUCGAACGAUCGGCUGCGUUAGAUCUUAUUUAGCACAUUUGUAGUUUCUAGAAAAUAAUGUUUGCGAUUUUUUGAUAGUCAUACCUAGUGAGUCGAAUAAGAAAAAAAAAAAAAAAAAAAAAAAAAAAAAAAAAAACAAAAAAAAAAAAAAAAAAAAAAAAAAAAAAAAAAAAAAAAAAAAAAAAAAAAAAAAAAAAAAAAACAAAAACAAAAAAAAAAAAAAAAAUGGAUUUAAAAUUUAUAGUUUUUAAUGAGUUGAUAUCUGCCGUUUGCAAGUUUAACGGUGUAGAAGAUUCAAACAGAAGAAAAUUUUGCAUACAAAUUCUUUAUAUACUAUCUUAUAACAAGAUCAAUAUUCUGACGCGAAAAUUUUUAGUCUAUCAUCGACGAACCAAAUCCAGACACAAGGAGGAACAAUAUUAGCUGCUUAUACACAUUUUUAUAGGAUUUUUAUUUUUCAACCAUUAACAAAUAUAUGUGAUUUGUCAUUUCGAUUAGCUAGGUACAAUGAUAGUCAAAAAAAUCGCAAAAAUUAUUUUCUAGAAACUCAAAUAUGCUAGUCAAGUUUAAACGAGCCGCAUCGUCGAUUCGGAAAAACUCUAUCAUUGAAAACGGCUUCAGGAGCACGGAGGCUCCGUGUCCGAGAGGACGCAGCCUGCUCUAUACAUAUUAUAAUAUAUAUAUAUAAUAAUAUAUUAAUAUAGAUAUAUAUAUAUUAUAGUGAGAUAUAUAUAUAUAUAUAUGUAAAACCCAGCCCAACUAGCAACAAUAAAUCUCGUGGGACAACAACCGCAAAUGCUUAAGCCAUUCAUUAUUACUAGUGUUUAGUCUCCUAUAAAACCCAAUGUACAACCUCAUUCCUAUCCAUGUGAGACUCAUCUCGCUAGCCCGUCAUCCGACCUGGCUCAGCGGAGACUCGUCACACAUGUUCCAGCUGGUGACCGGCUUUGAUUCCAAAUGUAACGACCACCACUAGCAACAAUAACUAGUUGGCCAAAUCAACGGGCCAAAUGUUAAGCCCAGUUUAUUAUUACUGUGUUAGAGUCUCUUAAUAAAACCAUGACAACCUCAUCCAUCCAUGAAUGCUGGGACUAUAUUGGGUGUCACAAUAGUAUUAUUCAAUAGGCUAGGACCAUGCCUGAAGUGGCACAAUGGAUGUGAGCAGGUCUACUGUUUUUCUUCUUACAAGUUAUUUUUUGUUGUUCUUGGGACAUUUAAUUAAAAAAAAACUUUAGUGGCUGGUUUCAUAUAGAAAAAUACUAAUAGCAAAAAUUUUUGGAUAUUCAUAAAUAUCUUUUUGUUUUGACUUGAUGUGAGUGAUUUAAUAAAAUUAAAAAAAAUUAAGUCUUUAUUAUUCAAUGGGACAAAUUGCAUUAGACACUUUAUUAUUCAAGCAAAAAUAUAACAGAUUAUUAUUACACUUAAUAGACUAUAGAUUUUUGUAAAAAUUUUGUAAAAGAAGAAUGUGUUUUUAUAUAGAAUUGAUACUUGAUCAUGUAACAAUUAAUCUUAAAAUUAUUACACUUUAGUUAAAUUAGUACUAUAUUUUGGUAGAAUAGUACUAUAUAGAAUAUUAGAUUUUAUUAUUUAUAAGUUUGUAUUUGUGGAAUAUUUUCGCUUUUUUAUUUGCUGGUAUUUAAUUUUUAGAGGGCUUAUUAUAUGAAAUUCCGUCUGCCUAGGAGGAGCAUUUUAUGCAAAUUAUCCCUUAAGGAUUGUUUAUACCUCUUUUGAGUUCGUGUACCUAGUGCAUGUGCACAGAGAAGAAGAGCUCUUGCACAAUAGAUGAGGUUUUUGAAACAGAAUCUGAGUGUGAAGCUAACUCUAUGUAUGCGACAAGAUUCAUGCGUCAGUUUUUUUUUCGUUAGUAACUUCCUGUGCUGUUACUUAGAUUUCUGUAGAUUUUUUCUUUUUUUUCUUCGUUGUUGCCAAUUAUACUGUAAAAAACCUCUAACUAAAGCUUCUUACGUUACAAAAUCCUAACACAUUCCACUAAUAAAUAUAACAAUGAUAUUAAUUAUCGAUGGUAUUUUAUACGUUAAAAUAAUCUAAUUAGGACGAAAUUUAAUAUCCGUCACUAAUAAAAACUGAAAAGCUUUGAACAUAUUUAAUAGGACCAAAAUAACUUUACUGCUAAAACUUAUAUUUGAAUUAGUUGUGAUUGGUUUAAUUUUUUUUCACACUACGCAUUUAGCACGAAUCAUAAUUAACAGUGACGAUGGGUUUAAUAAUUACGACUAAGUAUGUGGUCGCUAAACCUAUUUUGAAGCCAACACACAUUAAUAUUUGGUUGCUUAAUACAUUAAAGAUCAUGUCUACGACAUUAUAUUUUCAUAUUAUUUAUAAUAAAAGUUAAGUUACUUUAUUUGCGUUAAAUUAAAAUUGUAAGUUUAAGCUUACUAUUAUAUAUAUAGUAUUUAAUUUUUAUAAUUUUAUAAGAAUUAAUUAUCAUAUUUAUGAUAAUCUGAUAUUAUAUAAGUUUGAUCCUGUAUAUGGGUUUUUCGAAACUUUCCAACUUGAUUUUUUUUCAGUUAGUAAAUUCUUCAAAUUUUUUUAUCUAAGUUAUUUUACUUAAUUAACUUUACAAUUUAAUAUAUUUAAAUGACUCUAUUUGUAAUUAGUUUUAAUCGGAUUCAUUGUUUAAUAAGAACAAUAAUAAUUAAAUGGUGAUGAAAUUAUCACUUAUUUGAAAAUAUUAAUAAUUAUUGACUAAAAUACUUAAUCUAAAUAAUAAAAAAAAAUCAAAAAAUAGAAACAUAAAAAGACUAUUUUGAAAAUAACUACAUACUUAAUAGGAGGCUAAAACGCAAAAUUCCCUAAUAUAAACCCUGACCUGCCCUUAGCCGCCGCCUCUCUAGCCGUUCACAUCUCCGAACACUUCUACCUAGGUUUUUUUUGUUUUUUUUAAACUUUCUUCUUACUUCAUCUUGAUUCUUUCUCAUUUAUUGGAAGGAAAUAGAUAAUCCAGUUUGCCUCGUUUGUUGUUUUUUCCAUUGAUAGGAACAAGAAGAGGUUUGUUCUCUAUUACUACCUCCACUAAGAUAACGACCCAACAAUCACGACUCUAUCAAGAAAAUUGACAAAAUUAUAGAUUCUCUGAUAAAAAUUUUAUUUUAUUUUUUUACCUAAGCAAAAGAUGGAUUAAUUGGAUUUUCCUUUAAAAAAUUUAUCUUAUUUUCUAAUCUUUCAAUUAAUACCUUAAGAAUAAUUUAAAUAGUUAUUCUUUGCGAUGUAUGUGGAGAGAAUAGAAGAUAUGUGAAUAGAAAUAUAUAAAUAUUAAUUCUUCGUUGAAGAAAAAAAAAAAGAUGGAACCACACAUAUGGGGAUUUAUUUUAAGUAGGAGACAAGAGAGAGUUUUUUUCUCCGUUACCUUCCACCACAAGGACGACGCCUGCAAGCCAACACUCGCGACCCAUCAAAAAAUGACAAAUUAAUUUGAUCUUUGAUAAAAAUAUUUAUUUUAUUUUUUACACAAGAAAAAGAUGGAAUUAAUUUCUAUUUCUUUUUAAAUAAAUUUUAUUUUCUAAUCUUACAAAAUUAAUACUUAAGAAAUAGAUUAAAAUCUGAUGAGUUUGCGAUGUAUGUGAUGAGAAAAAUAUAUUGUGAAUAAAGACACUAUAGACAGUUAUUCUUUCCUGAGGAAAAAAAAAAAAAAAGAGGAACCCACACUUAUGGAUUUAUUUUAUAAAGAGACAAGAAAUGGUUUUUUCGUCCAUUAUCUUCCACCGACGAGGGUCCAAAAUCACGAACAUCAUAAAAAAUGACAAAUUUAAUUAUGAUUCUCUUGAUAAAGAUAUUUAAUUUUAUUUUUUUACCAGAAAAGAUGGGAUAUGGAUUCUUUUGAAAAAAUUAUUUUCUAAUCUUACAAAUUAAUACUCAAGAAUAGAUUUUAAAAUAUUGAUGAUUCUGGCGAUGAUAGUGUGAGAGAAUAGAAGAUAUUGUGAAUUGAAAGAUAUAAUAAUAGUUAUUUCUUUCACUAAAGACAAAAAAAUAGAUGGAACCCACACAUAUGGAAUUAUUUUAAGUAGGAAUACAGAAGAGUUUUUUUCUCCAGUAUCUUCACCAACAAGAGCCCUUAUAAAUCACAAUCCAUCAAGAAAAGAGUAAAUUAAUUUAGAUUCAUCUUGAUAAAAAUAUUUAUUUUAUUUUUUAACCAAGAAAAGAUGAUUAAUUUGGAUUACUUUUAAAAAAAAUUUAUCUUUUCUAAUCUAUACAAAAUUAAUACUAUAGUAAUAGAUUUUAAAUAUUGAGGUUGGUUUGUGAUGAUUGAAAGAAUAAAGAUUAUCAUUAAAGUUAUCUUUCACUAAUUAAGAGCACGAAAAAAAUAGCAUGAACCCACACAUGAUGCGAUCUAUUUUAUGUUAAGUUAGAGAUAGAUAGAAGUGUGUGAACUGCCCCCAACUCCAGGCACACGAGGUCACCCAUCCUAGAACUACUCUCGUCCAUAGCACCGUAACCUUCUCUUAACGCUUGGGCCUCGGUCUGAACCAAUCCAAAUCACACGGUUUUAAGUAACGACCCAGCACUAGCAAUAACAACUCGUUGGCGUCAACUAACAGCCAAAAUGCCUUAAGCCCCAGUUAUAAUUACUAGUGAUCAAGUCUCUUAUAACCCAGAUCAACCCCUUUCCGAUCGAUGUGGGACUAAACCCCGUUCCCGAUCCAGAUGUGGGACUAUUGGUUGUCACAGACUCCCCCCGUUAGCCCUGACAUUUCAUCGUCAGGUCCGAAUCACAACAGCUCACAUCACCAGCGAUAUUGAGGACUCGUCUCGCUAGCCCGUCAUCCAGACCCUGGUUUAGCCGAGGAGUCGCCAACAUGUAAGUCAGCGGGUGAACCGCUUUGAUACCAAAGCUGUCGACAGCCCACUAGCAUAAUAACUCGUUGGGCCCAACUAAAGCGCCUAAAAUGCUUAAACCCAGUUAUUUUACUAGUGUUAUAGUCUCUUAUAAAGCCCCAUGACAACCUUUCCAUCCAAUGUGCGCGGAUGAUUGGGCGCUGUCGCAGAAUUAUUCUCUAUCAUCUAUAAUUUUUUAUUAUUAUCUUAGAUAUAGUGAUAAAAUAAUUCUAACUUAUAUAGGAUAUUUUGGUAAAAUCGUUUUGGUAGAAUGCUGCAUUUUCAAAAAAAAAAAUCAUUAAUAUAUGUAGAAGUCUGUAUAUUAACUUUUAGGUGUAAAUUGAAAUAAAAUGAGUUAAGAUUUCAGAUUCCCCCAGAAUUCUUAUGUCAAUCUUUUUUGGCUUUUCGCUGUGGGGAAACAUACGAUGUACAGUGUUAGUUAUAACGUUAGGGGUUUUGUUUUUAAUUUUUUUGUACAGUUAUUUUAUCAAGUUAAUUUUUUUUUUGUUAACGAUUUUGUUACUGUGCACUUGAUGUUUGAUUUUCUGGUAAAUGAUGUUAUUUUGAUUACUGUCAUAUUAUGAUACCAAUGAUAAAGGUAUUUAAUAUCCGUGAUUUUUUGUUAUCAGAUUCCACUAAUUUUCGUUAAACUCAGUGAUAAAGUGUAAACUUUUUUUGUACGUUAAAGUGAAUAUUUCAUAAAUCUAGUUGGAUAUUCUGAACUUUUUGUAGAUAAAUUACGAAAUAUUUAACGGAGAUUUGAGUGAUGUAAAAUAAACCACACCUUAACUGUACAGGGUAUUAAAGUGAAAUGUUUUGUUAGGCCGGAAACCACAAAGGGGUAUUUAAAGUUUUUAUUUUUAUUUUUUUAAUAUCAUGUUAGUCUUUUAUUUGGAAGAAUAUUAAUUAAAUAUAACAAUCACAUAGAUAUAUAUAUUGAAUAAUAUUUAGGGGUGUAAAAUACACAGUUAAGUGUAAUCGAAAUUAACGGAUUACAUCCAGGGCAGGCAAUAUGCCCACGUAGUUCCCGCUUCUUUCCGGUUGGUGCCUGGAGGUUUGACGUUGAAAGUUAAUAAAAUUAAUAUAAAAUUGACGAUGUAUUGAGCGCACGGCGACGACAUCAUAGUGGGAAAAAUUCUUAAAAGUAAGCAACGGGUAUAUUAGUGACGCUGCGUAACAAACAAUGGCAAAUAUAAUCUUUUUUUUUUAAAUAUAUGUCCCGAUCCAUGAUUGUAAAAAAGUAGUUUUUAUGUGGUACUUAUUGUUUUGAGAAACGAAGGAAUGCUGAGUUGGCUUGUUAUGAUACGUGUGCAAGUGUGACAGUGUAUAAAUUCCUGCCAAUAGGGAGGGGAAACCAUGUCACAUGCAGAAACGAUGGAUCUACAUGAAACGAAAGCACAUUCUCACCUAACAACUAAUAACACAUAUUUUUGAGACUUAAACUUGGUCAAAUUAAUUGCGUCAAAAAUCAUGAACACAUUUACAGAAAAAAAAUCAGGCAUAAUAAAAAAAUUAGGAUUGCCAGCAGCUAAAACUGCUAAAAGAAAAUAUAAAAAUUGAUGGUAAUAUUUGCUCCAAUAGUUUUAAAAGUCUGAUAAAAGUGCAGGUGUCCGUUACAAUAUCUUGCUGUAUAAUCUUUGCCUAAUCACUUUUACUAACUAUUGGUGAAGAUGAUCUCUACAACAUCUUAAAACUGUCGGUAAAACUACAAACAAACACGUGUAAAUAGCAUGGACCGACAGUUUAUUUUCACGUUGGCCAAAGUUUUUACAACUAAUAUGAAAAAAAUACUAAUAUCAACAAAUACAUUCGGGCUUUUCCAUUUGAUAUUAAUAUAAAACCAAAAAACAAUCUGUAAUCAUCGGAAAAAAUCAAGUAUAUUAAUUACUAAUUCCAUAAGAAAAGUCUAUAACAAAACAGUAAAAAUGGUUGUAACAAAAACUAUAAGAUGAUACAUCAUGAUCUAUGUGUGAUAAAUUGCAACAAACAUGAAUUUUUAUGUACUAUAGAAAUCAAUGCAAUAGAAUAAUUUAUUUUGAAUCCGCAAAUGAUAGUAAGCUAAGAAAAAGAGGAGUGAAAAGCUCAGAAACAUUCUGAAAACGGCGAAACAUCAAAUCAUGCUUGUGGUCAAUCUGGAAUACAAAAAAAAGUUGAAACAUAUAAAUUGAUAAGCUUCAUUCUAAAUAAACAACAUCUAUCAUAGUACAUAUAGCAAAAAUAAAAGUAUACUAAACAUAAGAACUAAAUUUUUUAGUUCCAAUUAUUAGUCAGGUCAAAGUUAAGCAGCUUAAUUUGUCGUUUAAUUAAAUCAUAAAUGUCCUUUAUGUCCACUUAUUGGGUUCGACUUACUCGAUCGGGAAAGUACGACCAAUUAAUGUUGAAUCGCCGAAAUAUUCUAUUAUUUUAGUUUUAGUGUUGAUAUGGUUGAACCAUAUUUUGAAUAGAGAUAUGAAAUUAGAGAGUAACUCAAUAAAAUAAAUAUAAUUCAAUUUAUUCUGUAAAAACUUCAUUACUUAAAGUAGGACAAAAAUUAAUUCUCUUCCAAAAAUAAAGUUAUAUUCCAUUCAAUACUGAAUUCUAUUCAUCUAACGACAAACAGAUUAGUUACUAUUUAUCCAUUUUUCGAUUCGGUGAUAAAUAGCAGUUAGGGGCAAGAACUGCUUUUGGCUUUCCUAGCUAAUUACAACGAAGUGCUGUUCAUUGUUAAGUGCUUCAAAGUCAUGCAUUAAUUGGAUUAAUUACUUCUGUUCACAAGAUUCCGACGAAGCAAGGAAGAUAUGAAAAAUUAACUAAGAGAUAUAAUGACUUGAAUGCUGUGAUGUAGAAACCUUGUUACACUGGCUCCCCAAAACCAAUUCUAUUAGCACCGUUAUAUGUAGUUAGUACCGCUUCAAAAAGAUCCCUAACUCUCAAAAGUUGCUUAAAGAAUCAUAAAUUCAAAUUUAACCUGAUAAAGUAAUUAAACUAUUAAAGUGAGCUAUCAGUCAUUUUAAAUUUUAACUGACAUGUAUAGAAGAUAUGAUCAAACAUACUUAGUUAGCCUCAAUUUAAAAGUCCUAGUUUUCGUUUCCGCGUCGAUCACUAUUAUCACCAGCUAAAUCCAUGUACUCACUCAAACCUGCAUUAUAUUAGAAGCUGCAAAGCAUAAUAAAAUCAAAAGAAAUAAUACUGAUUUGCUUAUAUUUUAAAAUUUUAAAGUAAGAUGCAUUAUAUUGAUACUCUUGUGAGUAAAUUAAUAACAUACCGUUUGUGGUUAUUUUAAUGAUUAUCAUCUCCACACUUAGUUUGUCUAUAACUUUGUUAUUAUACAAUGUGAAAAAAAAAAUAUUAGUCUAAUCAUAUAAGAAAUAGAUAAAUCAAUAGCAAUAAUAUAACCGAAUAAAUUAGCACUGUAUUAUCUUUCCACAAUAAUAACUAGUCAUUAGACUAAGCAAAAUUUUUUUCAUAUUUAAGUACCUAAGUCCCAAAUAUCUUUUUAGCCUUAUAGGCAUCUUCUGGCUAUCUAGAACCGGAAGCUAUGUCUCACACUUCGAGCAAUAUAGAAAUAACUUUGUUACUAUCACCAUUAAAACACUUCAAACAUUAUAGACAAAAUGCUGUAAUAGUACUGUAUUUCUCACACCCAUCUUAAUCGAAAUUCUAUAUCUUCAAUGAGGUAAAAACUUUUUAACAUCUUCAUUCAUGCCUUCUGUAGAUUACAUAAACAGACAACAACGAAGCCACCAGACGCUAUCUGCUAACCUGUGAUAUUGUACGAUCACACCUCACUAAUGACUCGAUAAACAUUAAUAUUACCUCCCGGCCUUUUCUAAAUUUGAUUAUUCAUUCUGAAAAAACUCAUCUAACAUCAUGCAUAUUGCAUUAAUUAGGAUUCAUAAGGUAUAAUUACUAGUCUUUUGAUGCUCUCCAAAUGCAGAUCUCACCAUAAAAACACUCAAUUAUGUUAGUCUGGACUGAUUCCAUUUACACAACAGGAUCACGCCACUAUUUGCGUCAACGAUUUAGGAACUUCCAGACAUUUCAAACAUGGCAUGUCAACUCAUUUGCAUGCAUUUUGGAGAUCUUCUCUGGAAUUUUCGAAUCGACGAUCGGCUCCGUUAGACUUGAUCUAGCACAUUUGAAGUUUCUAGAAAAUAAUUUUUGCUAUUUUUUGAUAUCAUUUACCUAGUGAUCGAAAGGAUUUAAAAUUUAUAAUUUUUAAUGGUUGAUAUCUGCCGUUUUCAAGUUUAACGGUGUAGAAGUAUUCAAAUCAGAAGAAAUUUUGAUACAAAAUUCUUUAUACUAUCUAUAACAAGAUCAAUAUUUCUGAUCGAAAAUUUUAGUGCUAUAUCACCACUUUUUAUAGGAUUUUUAUUUUCAGCCGUUAAAAAUUAUUGAUUUUGAAUCAUUUCGAUUGCUAGGUAAAUGAUAUCAAAAAAUCGCAAAAAUUAUUUUCUAGAAACUUCAAAUAUGCUAGAUCAAGUUUAACGGAGCCGAUCGUCGAUUCGGAAACUCUAUCAUCGAAAACGGCUCAGUAGCACGGAGGCCUCCGUGCUCCUAAGAGCACAGC